rnacentral:rRNA from 1 species
AUACGUAGGUCCCGAACGUUGCGCGAAAUUACUGGGCGUAAAGGGUCCGUAGGCGGUCUGGUAAGUGGAAGGUGAAAGCCUGGGGCUCAACUCCAGAAUUGCCUUCCAAACUGCCGGACUUGAGGCAGGGAGAGGUCGGCGGAAUUCCCGGUGUAGCGGUGAAAUGCGUAGAUAUCGGGAGGAGCACCAGUGGCGAAGGCGGCCGACUGGAACUGUCCUGCCGCUGAGGGACGAAAGCCAGGGGAGCGAACCGGAUUAGAAACCCUAGUAGUCC